rnacentral:rRNA from 1 species
CAGCAGCCACGGUAAUACGUAGGGGGCAAGCGUUAUCCGGAAUAACUGGGCGUAAAGGGUGCGCAGGUGGUUUAACAAGUUAGUGGUGAAAGGCAUAGGCUCAACCAAUGUAAGCCAUUAAAACUGUUUAACUUGAGUGCAGGAGAGGAAAGUGGAAUUCCUAGUGUAGCGGUGAAAUGCGUAGAUAUUAGGAGGAAUACCAGUGGCGAAGGCGACUUUCUGGACUGCAACUGACACUGAGGCACGAAAGCGUGGGGAGCAAACAGGAUUAGAGACCCGCGUAGUCCCUGUCUCUUAUACA